rnacentral:rRNA from 1 species
GAUGAACGCUGGCGGCGUGCCUAAUACAUGCAAGUCGAGCGAACGGACGAGAAGCUUGCUUCUCUGAUGUUAGCGGCGGACGGGUGAGUAACACGUGGAUAACCUACCUAUAAGACUGGGAUAACUUCGGGAAACCGGAGCUAAUACCGGAUAAUAUUUUGAACCGCAUGGUUCAAAAGUGAAAGACGGUCUUGCUGUCACUUAUAGAUGGAUCCGCGCUGCAUUAGCUAGUUGGUAAGGUAACGGCUUACCAAGGCAACGAUGCAUAGCCGACCUGAGAGGGGGUCGGCCCCCCCGGGAACGGGGCACCGGUCCAAACUCCUACGGGAGGCAGGAGUGGGGAAUUUUCCGAAAGGGGCGAAAGCCUGAGGGAGCAACGCCGCGGGGGUGAGGAAGGUCUUCGGCUCGUAAAACCUUUUUUUUGGGGAAAAAAAAAUUGGUAAGUAACUGUGAACAUUUUGACGGUACCAAAUCAAAAAGCCACGGCUAACUACGU